rnacentral:rRNA from 1 species
CAGCCGCCGCGGUAAUACGUAGGGUGCAAGCGUUAAUCGGAAUUACUGGGCGUAAAGCGUGCGCAGGCGGUUAUAUAAGACAGAUGUGAAAUCCCCGGGCUCAACCUGGGAACUGCAUUUGUGACUGUAUAGCUAGAGUACGGCAGAGGGGGAUGGAAUUCCGCGUGUAGCAGUGAAAUGCGUAGAUAUGCGGAGGAACACCGAUGGCGAAGGCAAUCCCCUGGGCCUGUACUGACGCUCAUGCACGAAAGCGUGGGAGCAAACAGGAUUAGAGACCCGUGUAGUCCCUGUCUCUUAUACA